rnacentral:lncRNA from 1 species
GUUAUGGUUUUAUCUUACGCUAUUCAUAAACUGAGUCAAAAAGAGGAAAAUGGAGAAAGUUCGGAGAGAAACGAGAGUUCUCGCUCUUUCCAUAUAAUAUUCGUCACCUGGUUUUUGCUGACAUUAUUUUAUACUUUCUCAUUUCUUAAUUCAUUAUUUAGUGCCAUCUUAGUUUUAUUGAGUAGUGACACGUUUUGGAGGAAUUUAUCGCUGCGUACUCAACAUUUUACACUAUUUUUAAACAUAGCCUGGCAAAUUUAUGUCUUUCGAGUUGUAAUAUUUUCAAUCACUGUCUUCAAUAUAUAUUUAAACGUAUACUUGAAUGUCUAUUCCAGUUUUAAAUUGACAGCUAUUGCUGUCAUAGUUUUAUUCAAAUUUUAUCAUGACUCUACUGUGAAAAUACUAGAGAUAUUUGACAGAAAAGUACGUAUAUCAGCUUAUACGCAUCCAGUUCCUAUUAGCCAAUUACAACGAAACUCAGAUCCUUGUCCAGUUUGUUUAUCUCCAAUGACAUCUGCAAAUAUCACACGGUGUAAACAUGUGUUUCAUGAAAGUUGUUUAGAAUUGUGCUUGCAAAGACAACCUUCAUGUCCAGUAUGUCGACAA